rnacentral:rRNA from 1 species
ACACGACUCUCGGCAACGGAUAUCUCGGCUCUCGCAUCGAUGAAGAACGUAGCAAAAUGCGAUACCUGGUGUGAAUUGCAGAAUCCCGCGAACCAUCGAGUUUUUGAACGCAAGUUGCGCCCGAGGCCUUCUGGCUGAGGGCACGUCUGCCUGGGCGUCACGC